rnacentral:rRNA from 1 species
CCUACGGGCGGCAGCAGUGAGGAAUAUUGGUCAAUGGCCGUAAGGCUGAACCAGCCAAGUCGCGUGAAGGAAGAAGGAUCUAUGGUUUGUAAACUUCUUUUAUAGGGGAAUAAAGGUAUCCACGUGUGGAUAUUUGCAUGUACCCUAUGAAUAAGCAUCGGCUAACUCCGUGCCAGCAGCCGCGGUAAUACGGAGGAUGCGAGCGUUAUCCGGAUUUAUUGGGUUUAAAGGGUGCGUAGGUUGCUUUUUAAGUCAGCGGUGAAAGUUUGUGGCUCAACCAUAAAAUUGCCGUUGAAACUGGAAGACUUGAGUGUGUUUGAGGUAGGCGGAAUGCGUGGUGUAGCGGUGAAAUGCAUAGAUAUCACGCAGAACUCCGAUUGCGAAGGCAGCUUACUAAGACAUAACUGACACUGAAGCACGAAAGCGUGGGGAGCAAACAGGAUUAGAUACCCUUGUAGUC